rnacentral:sRNA from 1 species
AGCAGCCGCGGUAAUUCCAGCUCCAAUAGCGUAUAUUAAAGUUGUUGCAGUUAAAAAGCUCGUAGUUGAACUUCGGGGUUUACCCAUUGGUCAGGCUUAAUUGUCUGUACUGGUGAGAUGAAUCUCUACCUUCUGAGGAACUUUCAUGCCAUUUAUUUGGUGUGAUUGGAAAUCAGGACUAUUACUUUGAAAAAAUUAGAGUGUUUAAAGCAGGCUAACGUCUGAAUAUAUUAGCAUGGAAUAAUGAAAUAGGACGGCUUGGUUCUAUUUCGUUGGUUUCUAGGAUCACCGUAAUGAUUAAUAGGGAUAGUUGGGGGCAUUAGUAUUCAAUUGUCAGAGGUGAAAUUCUUGGAUUUAUU